rnacentral:rRNA from 1 species
ACGACGCUGGCGGCGUGCCUAACACAUGCAAGUCAACUUGACUGAAGGAGCAAUCUGACAGUAGAGUGGCGCAAGGGUGCGUAACGCGUAAGUAACUUGCCCAAGGUAAGGAAUAACGUCGAGAAAUCGGCGCUAAUACCUCAUAAUGCAGCGGAUCCGCAUGGAUAUGUUGUUAAAGGUUUACCGCCUUGGGAUAGGCUUGCGUCUGAUUAGCUAGCUGGUGUGGUAACGGCACACCAAGGCUACGAUCAGUAACUGGUCUGAGAGGAUGAUCAGUCACACUGGAACUGAGACACGGUCCAGACUCCUACGGGAGGCAGCAGUGAGGAAUAUUGGGCAAUGCUCGAAAGAGUGACCCAGCAACGCCGCGUGGAGGAUGAAGGUAUUCUAUAUCGUAAACUCCUGUGAGAGCAGACGAAAGACAGAUUAUUAAUCUGGAUGACUGUAUGCUCAGAGGAAGCCCCGGCUAACUACGUG